GCCCGCUUGGCUCAGUGGUAGAGCGUGGCACUAGUAAGGCUAUGCCAAGGUCGUCAGUUCGAUUCUGGCAGUGGGCA
rnacentral:tRNA from 2 species